rnacentral:rRNA from 1 species
CAGCAGUAGCCGCGGGAACACGGAGGGGGCUAGCGUUGUUCGGAAUUACUGGGCGUAAAGCGCACGUAGGCGGCUUGGUAAGUUAGAGGUGAAAGCCCGGAGCUCAACUCCGGAAUUGCCUUUAAGACUGCCGAGCUAGUAGGUGAGAGAGGUAAGUGGAAUUCCGAGUGUAGAGGUGAAAUUCGUAGAUAUUCGGAAGAACACCAGUGGCGAAGGCGGCUUACUGGCUCAUACUGGACGCUGAGGUGCGAAAGCGUGGGGAGCAAACAUGAUUAGAUACCCCCGUAGUCCCUGUCUCUUAUAC